UCAUUUAAGACCAUUAUGCAUAAUUACGUACACAAAUUUUUGGAAUCUACUAUUGGUAAUGUAUUUGGUAAAGACAUAACUUGUAGGGAACCGGUACACCGUUGUGAUGAUUAUCAACCAGGUGUGUUAGUAGAAUUUGGACGAACUGGUAUAAAAUUGUUCAAGAAAUUCUUGAUGCCGUGCGGGUUGUGUGCUGCAGUACCUGCAAUGAAACCUGUCAACUCAUCUGAAGAACGUACUGCACCAUGUAAUACUGAAACACAAGCAAAGAAAUUAGUAAAGCCUUCUGAACUACCCAUUUAUUCUGUUGAUGAUGGGUAUAAUAAACAGAUGCCAUGCAUAGGAUAUCCUUCUAUUGUGGAAGAAAAUAUUCGAAAAGUACGCGAAACAAUACAAGAAGUAAAGGUUACAUUCAAUAAUAUUUCCUAUAAUGUUGCAAGUACUGUUGAUCAAUUUAGAUUCAUAAUUGAUUAUCUUCAAGAUGAAGCUAAUCUUAUGCCACGAAUAGGAGCUGUUGGAAUUGGUGGUUUAUCAGGUUUAGUACUAGGUCUUAGAGGAGGCAUGUUUAAACGGUUACUUUAUACAACCACAGGAGCUGGUAUUAUUGGAUGUAUUUGUUUCCCUAAAGAAGCAAAACAGACAUUGAAUAGAGUGGAACACUAUGGAAAUAUUAGUUACAAUUUCGUCUAUGGUGUGAAACCAGGAAACAGUCCACAGGAUAUUUCAUUAAUUGACAUGUUCCACCUGAAAAAUGUGUUUGAAUCAGAAUAUUUUCGUAUGAUAACAUUCGAUAAAUUUUUCGAACAAAAAAAAGAGAAUACAACUGAAAAACCGGAGUUUUGGAAAAGCCUCCUGAAGAGUUAGCAGAAACUCGCCUUCUUUCGUUUCAUCGUAAUAAUGAAAAUCGUUCAAAGUCUUUAGAAUCAGUAACAUUGAAUGAAAUCCCUAACAAGAAUCCAAAAUUUAAAGAAUUCAAAAAACCAGAUUAAACAAAAGAGAGCACACCAGAUAAACCAGAAAAGGAAAAAAAAUGAAUCGUUACAUUAAGUAGUCGUUGAAUAAUUUAUGAUAUAAAUGACUCAUAAGAAGUGUAAAUAAAAAUUAAAAAAUAAAAGUAUUAA